UCGCCACCGCCUGCUCCCCAGCGACCACCGCCACUCUCGCCGCCGUCCAGCGCGGGUCGCUGCCCCACCACCUCGCGCCGCCGCCGGCCAGCACCAAACCCCUCUCGUGUGCCUACAUGAGAUAGAGAGGAGGGUGUGAGAUAGAGAACAGGGGCAAUAUAGUCUAUUCAUAAUUAAAGUUUAUUUUUUUAUUUUAUUUACUCUAAACCCUAACGGUAUAAAUUAACGAUGGUCAGACAACUGCUUCGUCUUCGUCUUAAAAAAGAAUGGUCAAAUCUGCAAAACUGGAAAAGAAGGUCAGUUUCAUAUUUAACCUUCAAAGUAAGGUUAAAUAAUUAUGUUGUAUAGUGUGCUUUUUAAGGGAAGAGAUGUAAUUUAUACUCGCGAUGAAUCGUUCAAAUACUAAAAACGAUUAAGAUUAUAUGAAAAGAUAUAAUUUACAUUCUUGAUGUAUUAUCCUAAGACUAAAAACAAUUGAGAUGAUGUGACUUCAUGAGAGCAUUAACUACACUUAGCGAGCAUAAAUUUUAUAUAAACAAGGGAUCAGUAUUGUAGAGGAUCGUUCGAUGAGUGUCAUUCGUGUAAGUGUACGUUCUUUUUUUUUCCCAUGUAAUUGAAGGAACUGGUGAUGCACAGCAUUGUAUGCAUCUAACAAAAUCAGUGACGUCCUUGCAGGAAGCAAAGUGGAAAUGAAAUUUUGAUAGGACAAAGGGGACAGGCAAGCAUGGCAUUGUCUAAAGUGUUAAGCGAAGCGAACACAAGUACGCAGCACAUUCAUCGGUUUUGCAUCCACGCCGGAACACCAUGGUUAAUAAUCGCCAUGAUUAUGUCAUGAGGAAAAUAAAAUCAUGUCCAUCCUCUAUCAGAUGCAGCUUCACUUGACUUGUACAAUACCCCAAACAAGCGUAGGCCUCUUUUGCCAUCCUAGCCUGAAAAAACCUGCAAGCUAGGACCAGAUUCCAUCAUCAUACAUGAAUCAUGGCAUUGCUUAGCGGGCAAACCAAGACAAACUCGAGUUCUCGAAAGGAUUUUGGCAGAGAA
rnacentral:lncRNA from 1 species